UACGUAGGGUGCAAGCGUUGUCCGGAAUUAUUGGGCGUAAAGAGCUCGUAGGCGGUUUGUCGCGUCUGCUGUGAAAACCCGAGGCUCAACCUCGGGCCUGCAGUGGGUACGGGCAGACUAGAGUGCGGUAGGGGAGAUUGGAAUUCCUGGUGUAGCGGUGGAAUGCGCAGAUAUCAGAAGGAACACCGGUGGCGAAGGCGGGUCUCUGGGCCGAUACUGACGCUGAGGAGCGAAAGCGUGGGGAGCAAACAGG
rnacentral:rRNA from 1 species